rnacentral:lncRNA from 1 species
AUCUUCUCUACUUCCUUUUCUUUACUUCUCUCAAAAGUAAGAUUUCUAUCUUCUUCACUAACUUCUUCCGGAGAUAAAGACUCUAGAGUACAAGAAGUAAACGAAGUAUUAUUAGAAGGAAUGAUGACAUUUUCGGUAGCCACAAAAAUGCUAUCAAUUUCUUUUUCAAUAAUCUCUUCUUUUUCUUUCUCACUCUUAGGAAUGGUGACAUUUUCGAUAGCCACAAAAAUGUUCUCAAUUUCUUUUUCAAUAAUCUCUUCUCCCUUCACUUCCCUUUCAAGUUUCUCCUUGCUCUCUU